CAGCAGCCGCGGGAAUACAGAGGGUGCAAGCGUUACUCGGAAUUACUGGGCGUAAAGCGUGCGUAGGUGGUGGUUUAAGUCCGUUGUGAAAGCCCUGGGCUCAACCUGGGAAUUGCAGUGGAUACUGGGUCACUAGAGUGUGGUAGAGGAUAGUGGAAUUUCCGGUGUAGCAGUGAAAUGCGUAGAGAUCGGAAGGAACAUCUGUGGCGAAGGCGACUAUCUGGGCCAACACUGACACUGAGGCACGAAAGCGUGGGGAGCAAACAGGAUUAGAUACCCCCGUAGUCCCUGUCUCUUAUAC
rnacentral:rRNA from 1 species